CACAAUUUAAAAAAACAUAUUUUUUACAUGAUGAUUUUAAAUCCAAUCUUCAAAGGGAUGCUGUUUAUCAAAUAUUAAGAGGAACCAAUGAUGUGUUUGUCUCAAUGCCAACUGGUUCUGGAAAGUCCUUGUGCUUCCAGUUACCUGCCGUUAUGCAAGAGAACAAAGUUACAAUUGUAUUUUCUCCUUUACUAGCCCUAAUGAAGGAUCAAAUUGAUCAUCUAAAAAAGCUAAAAAUCCAUGCUGACACUAUUAAUUCUAAGACACCUGCUGCUCAACGUGAGAAAAUAAUAAAUGACCUCAAAUGUAAGAAAACAUCUUUAAAGCUU